CGGGGAGGAGGCGCCGGCAGCUCCACGCUUCUCCGCGCCGCCGCCGCCGCCGCCGCUGCCCCUCGCCCGCCGCGCGCCGUCCUCUUGGGGCAAAGUUUCGGGGUCUGCGAUCGACAAGAGACCGGGGCGACCCUCAGCAAGUCUUCCUUCCGUGAAGGUUGUGUAGUGAGGGGCUCGAAGGGGACGAGGUGAUUAGGCGGAGGGGGCCGGAGUAGAUAGGGGGGCAGCAGGAAGGAGAGGACCCCGAGCUCCGGGGGGGACAGGGUAGGAGGAUGCGCCGCGGGGGAUCCCUGCAGGGAUCGGGAAACCCGGAGCCCGGCUUGAGCCUUAGUCUCAGCACCUUCCCGGGAUCUUACAAAGUUGCAACAACAAAAAAGGAGGGGCAGGACCGGGGGAAAGGGGUGGGAUAGGGCUGCGGUGGCAGGCGCAAGGUUUGGAGUUACAACUGUUUAUUUAGUCCUUAGACUCCCAGGGGGCGGGAGCUGCGCGGGAAUGGGGGUGCUGCAGGCAGCAAUUUCCAAGCAAACACUGGGGUGGGGGGGCAUGAGACUUUGUUUCUGGGCGCGGAGCUCCCUGGCGCCCGUGUGUGUCACCGCCAGUCUCCAGGGACUAAGGCGGAGCUCACAACAGGUGGGGAGGGGGACAAGGAAUCAAAGUUUCCGAGCGCAGCAGGGUGUGAGGGGGGAGAGAAGGGGAGGCGGGGGCGCGAGGAGGCGGAGGCAGCAGAUGACCACGACCCUGCGGCAGCUGGCAAACUCCUCGGCUCCCGGCGCCGCCGCCACCGCCUCGGUCCCCACCCGAAGCGCGCGCCGCCUCGUCUGGUCGGCUCCAGAGAGACGUCUCCGAGGGACAGGAACCGAGAAUCGAGAGCACGGGAGGAAAGCUGCGCGCAGAGAAAUCAGCCCCAUGUAGCCAGAGACUGAAUUACUGUGCUCAACUAGAACUCCUCAGUGGCAGAUGAUAGCUAAGGCAGAAAGACUGAUGAAUGAACUGCCAAGCGACAGGGCCACUCUGCCAUCAGGAGCCCCAUCUCUUCUGGUCUGUUCUCCAUCCACAUGAGCUGUGGGACCACAGGCAAGCAAGGUUGUCCCUCUCUCUGGGCACCUGUAAAAUGGGAACAGCGCAUGUGCACACUAGGAGGAACAAGGGAGUUACUGGAGAGCACAGAACUCACAGCCCAGUGGCUCACACAGGGACAGCCAGCUAUAGGAGAAAACCAAGGACAUAUACCUCUAUCAUUUGCCUGAAGAAGAACAGGAAUGCACACCUUGGCUGGAAAUCAGUGAUCAGGUACUGUCCUGCUGCCCACUGUGGUCCAUCAUCAAAGAAAAGAGUUCUUGAGCCAAAGAUGCUGAUUUGAUGGUGGAAGUGAUGGAGAAUAAGUAAGCUGCUUCGAUGAAGUCUGGAUUAUAUCACAAGAAAAACUACAGGCACGGGGAACAAUAGAAAUAAUUUGGGAUGUCCUAGAAAGGACUAGAGACUAGAACAUGAAAACCCGCUGUGUAAGACCAUUCCAGGCAGAGACAACAGCAAUUACUUUUCUCAUUGGUGUGGCAAAAAUACUGGAGAAAAGCAACUCAGGAGGUCACGUUGAUUUUGGCUGAGUGUUUAUACAAGGAUACAGACCAUCCCAGGUGAUGGCAUCAUCCUGGCAGCAGGAGGCUGAGGCAGCUGGUCAGACUUCAUCUGCAAUCAGGACGCAGAGGAAGAUGAACGCUUGGUGUUCAGCUUGCCUAGAAUGGGAUGGUGCCUUCUACAUUUAGGGUAGGUUUUCCCACUGCAACGAACCCAAUCAAAAUACUGCAAACUCCUUCACAAACAUGCUCAGAAGUUUGUCUCCUGGGUGAUUCAAGACCCUCUCAAGUUGGCAAUGCCAACCACCACCAAGUUCAAAGGCUCCAAGGUAGGCCUGCUGUGCUAGAGGGAGGGGAGAGGCACUGUGUGACCACAGCAGAGGGAAAAGGCAGAAAGAGGUGAGGGAAAGCCAACAUGGCCAUGUGAAGUACGUCUUAGGGUGCAUGGCGGUGGGUGGGCCAUGGCGCUUUUCUCUCAACGUCAGGGGACAUCUGCAGUGUUCUGAGCAGCACAGGCCAUCAAUUUUUGCGAUUAUCAUAAGUAUAGGAAGUACACACAGAGAGGAUAUACUUAUCCAGAUGUUUCUAGUCAUGCUCCAGGUAUAUCAAGGAGCCAGCCACAUCAUGACUGGAGGGAGGUAUGGCCCAGUGCCAGAAAUCAGGCUCAGGUGACAGGCUCAGCUGGAAAGGGGUACCCAUCUGUCACAAACAACCCUUGCUCUCUACUACUUGUCCAAUGUCUAUAGGUGGCAGAGAUAUUAAUACUGGAGCAUUAAGCAUCCACCAAGCAUGUGCUGCACCGGAGGACUCUCGCUUUGUGUGCUUUUUGAGCCAGUAACUAUCAGAAACAACUCCCACCAGCUCAUAAGGAACCCUACUGAGGUUUGGAUGUGAUCUGGCCUUCAAGAGCAGUGUGUUGGAAGCUUGGUGGGAAUGUGAGAGAUGGUGGUGAUACCCUUGAGAAGUGUCACCUGUUGGUACUAAAUGAUGUCACUUGAUUAUGACCCUUGGAAGAGGUUAAGGUAGUUUUCAUGGGAUCCUUCCAUUGAAAGGCAAUGUUAUAAAACAGCACACCUACCCCUCCCCAAUUUCACCAUGUGAGUUCUCUCCUGUUCCAUGCCUUUCUAUUUUUUGUGCCACCCAUCAAAACCAAGGCAGUGCUAGCACCAAGUCCUUGAAUCUCUAGAACUUUGACCUAAAUAAACCUCAUGUCUUCG
ensembl:lncRNA LOC102555037 uncharacterized LOC102555037